rnacentral:rRNA from 1 species
CGUCAAGCUAGAACGGGCGCACGGUGGAUGCCUUGGCGUCAGGAGCCGACGAAGGACGCUGCAGGCGGCGAAAGGUCCGGGGAGCUGCCAAGCAAGCUGUGAUCCGGACGUCUCCGAAUGGGGAAACCCGGCGGGGGUCAUGCCCCGUCACCCACCGCGGAAUCCAUGGGCGGUGGGAGGGAACCCGGGGAACUGAAACAUCUCAGUACCCGGAGGAAAGGAAAUCAACCGAGAUUCCCCGAGUAGUGGCGAGCGAAAGGGGAAGAGCCCAAACCCCGCGGGUGCCAAGCCCGCAGGCGUUGCCCGCGGGGAGUUGUGGGACGCGGCCGGACCGGGCUGCGGACCGGUCGGGAAGUCAGAAAUCCCCGCUCUAGUCGAACCGUCCUGGAACGGCGGGCCAGAGAGGGUGACAGCCCCGUAGGCGAAAGGGUGGGGACUUCCUGGGUCGCGGUCCCGAGUACCACGGGACACGUGGAAUCCUGUGGGAAGCUGGGGGGACCACCCUCCAAGGCUAAAUACUCCUGACGACCGAUAGCGCACGAGUACCGUGAGGGAAAGGUGAAAAGAACCCCGGGAGGGGAGUGAAAUAGAACCUGAAACCGUGUGCCCACAAGCAGUCGGAGGGCUAUGCCGAUCCCGCAAGGGAUCGGAAGGGCCUGACGGCGUGCCUAUUGAAGAAUGAGCCUGUGAGUUGCCGCGUGUGGCGAGCUUAAGUCCGGAAGGACGGAGGCGUAGGGAAACCGAGUCUGAACAGGGCGCCGCUCCCGGAAGGGAGGGCGAGAGUGACCUCGCCAGUCGCACGCGGCAGACCCGAAACCGGGUGAGCUACCCAUGGCCAGGGUGAAGCGCGGCUAACCCCGCGCGGAGGCCCGCACCCGUCGGUGUUGCAAAACCGUGGGAUGAGCUGUGGGUAGGGGUGAUAUGCCAAUCGAACCCGGAGAUAGCUGGUUCUCCCCGAAAUGCAUUGAGGUGCAGCCUCGGCGCGAGCGUCACGGAGGUAGAGCACUGGAUGGGCUAGGGCGGAAGAAUCCGUACCGAACCCAACCAAACUCCGAAUGCCGUGACGUGGUCGCCGGGAGUGAGACGGUGGGGGAUAAGCUCCAUCGUCGAGAGGGGAACAGCCCAGAUCGCCGGCUAAGGUCCCUAAGUCCCAGCUAAGUGGGAAAGGAAGUGGCACCGCCCAGACAGCCGGGAGGUUGGCUUAGAAGCAGCCAUCCUUUAAAGAGUGCGUAACAGCUCACCGGUCGAGUGGUGCUGCGCCGAAAACGUAACGGGGCUCAAGCUGGGCACCGAAGCCGCGGGUCCUGCCGGAGUGUCGCCUCCGGCAGGGCGGUAGGGGAGCGUUCCGCUGUAGGGUGAAGCCGGACCGUGAGGACCGGUGGACGAGGCGGAAGUGAGAAUGCAGGCAUGAGUAGCGAAAAGGCGGGUGAGAAUCCCGCCCCCCGUAAGCCUAAGGGUUCUUACGGAAGGUUCGUCCGCGUAAGGUUAGGCGGGAGCUAAGGUGAGGCCGAAAGGCGUAGCCGAUGCACAGCCGGUCGACAUUCCGGCCCCACUCAGGGAUCGCUACGAGCCACGGAGGGACGCAGGAGGGUAGCCCUACCGGCGGCCGGAAGUGCCGGGCCAACCGGGUAGGCUGGGGUCCUAGGCAAAUCCGGGACCCCGUCAAGGCCGAGACGGGAGUGCGAGCGGGAUUGAGACGCCCGCGAAGUGGGUGAGCCCACACUGCCAAGAAAAGCUUCGUGGCCAGAUCCCUGGGUGCCCGUACCGCAAACCGACACAGGUAGGCAGGCACACAACGUGCCCAGGGGCGCGAGGGAACCCUCCUCAAGGAACUCGGCAAAUUGGCCCCGUAACUUCGGGAGAAGGGGUGCCCCGGUAGGGUGAGGUGCCUCGCGCACCGAGCCCGAAGGGGUCGCAGGGAAUCGGCCCAGGCGACUGUUUAACAAAAACACAGGUCUCUGCUAAGCCGCAAGGCGAUGUAUAGGGGCCGACGCCUGCCCAGUGCCGGAAGGUAAAGGGGAGGGGUGAGGCCGCAAGGCGUAGCUCCAAACCGAAGCCCCGGUGAACGGCGGCCGUAACUAUAGCCAGGACCGCUGUAGUUACGUUACCAAAAUCCGGCUAUAUGCUGGGAAGUCCCGGGUAUCCUGCGCUACGCAGCCUGCCGAGAGCAGGUGCGUGACAAUGCGUCAGGUGGGGACCAUCAGCAGGAAAGGCUCCGGUGAUCGGAAUGCUGGACGUGAAGAAAAUUCCUCCUCACAUUGGGUACUACCUCGCCGGGUUCGCGGACGGCGAGGGGAGCUUCAACGUCAGCUUCCGCCCUCGGAGCGACGACCACCACCCCUGGAAGGUCUCCUUGUGUUUCAAUAUCUCGCAGCGCGACCGCGUGAUCCUUGCCCUGUUCAAGCGUUACCUGCGCUGCGGUACCCUCCGCCAGCGCAGGGACGGGGUGUGGUAUUACGAGGUGAAUAACCUGAACGCGAUCCGGGAUCAUGUGAUCCCAUUCUUCAAGCGGUUCAGGUUCCUCUCGACGAAGAAAAAGCGGGACUUCUCCAAGUUCUGCCAGAUCGCCGAGUUGGUGCUGCGAGGGGAGCACAGGACCGAAGAGGGGAUCCGCCGGAUUCUGGAGAUCCGGCGGGAGAUGAAUGAUGGUGGGAAACGUCGCUACGAGGAUGCCGAAAUCCUAAGCCGAUUUCGGCCCGGAGAAUCCUCAGAGACUGUACGCCGGACUCCGGAGCCUUAGCUCCGGAGAUGAGACAGUCCGACCUGCGUGGCGACACGCAGAGCGGGUAACCAAUCCCGCCGCCCGGUAACACCGGGUCGUAACAAGGUGAACGGUCCUAAGGUAGCGAAAUUCCUUGUCGGGUAAGUUCCGACCUGCAUGAAAGGCGUAACGACCUGGGCGCUGUCUCGAGGAGGGGCUCGGCGAAGGUGUACCACCCGUGAAGAUACGGGUUACCCGCAGCUGGACGGAAAGACCCCGUGGAGCUUUACUGCAGCCUGAUAUUGGAUGUGGUUUUGCCGUGUAUAGGAUAGGUGGGAGGCUGAGAAGCGGGGGCGCCAGCCUCCGUGGAGCCGCCCUUGGAAUACCACCCUCGGUAAGGCUACGUCCUAACCGGGGCCCUACAUCGGGUUCCGGGACAGUGUCAGGUGGGCAGUUUGACUGGGGCGGUCGCCUCCUAAAGGGUAACGGAGGCGCCCAAAGGUCCCCUCAGCACGGUUGGAAACCGUGCGUUGAGUGCAAGGGCAUAAGGGGGCUUGACUGCGAGACCCACAAGUCGAGCAGGGGCGAAAGCCGGGCCUAGUGAUCCUCUGGCGGCAAGUGGAAGCGCCAGGGCUUAACGGAUAAAAGCUACCCCGGGGAUAACAGGCUGAUCUCCCCCAAGAGUCCACAUCGACGGGGAGGUUUGGCACCUCGAUGUCGGCUCACCCCAUCCUGGGGGGGCAGUACCUCCCAAGGGUUGGGCUGUUCGCCCAUUAAAGGGGUACGUGAGCUGGGUUCAGACCGUCGUGAGACAGGUCGGUCCCUAUCCACUGCGGGCGCAGGUGGCUUGAGGGGGGCUGCUCCUAGUACGAGAGGACCGGAGUGGACGCACCUCUGGUGUACCGGUUGUCGCGCCAGCGGCACGCGCCGGGUAGCCAUGUGCGGUUGUGAUAAGCGCUGAAAGCAUCUAAGCGCGAAGCACGCCCCAAGAUGAGGCCACCCACCGGGUCAACCGGGUAAGGCCCCAGGAAGACCACCUGGUAGAUAGGCCGGAGGUGGAAGCGCGGCAACGCGUGAAGCCGACCGGUACUAAUCGGCCGAGGGCUUGGCGGC